UACGAAGGGGGCUAGCGUUGCUCGGAAUUACUGGGCGUAAAGCGCACGUAGGCGGCUUUCUAAGUCGGGGGUGAAAUCCUGGAGCUCAACUCCAGAACUGCCUUCGAUACUGGAGAGCUUGAGUCCGGGAGAGGUGAGUGGAACUGCGAGUGUAGAGGUGAAAUUCGUAGAUAUUCGCAAGAACACCAGUGGCGAAGGCGGCUCACUGGCCCGGUACUGACGCUGAGGUGCGAAAGCGUGGGGAGCAAACAGGGAU
rnacentral:rRNA from 1 species